GACGAACGCUGGCGGCGUGCUUAACACAUGCAAGUCGAACGGAAAGGCCCUGCUUUUGUGGGGUGCUCGAGUGGCGAACGGGUGAGUAACACGUGAGUAACCUGCCCUUGACUUUGGGAUAACUUCAGGAAACUGGGGCUAAUACCGGAUAGGAGCUCCUGCUGCAUGGUGGGGGUUGGAAAGUUUCGGCGGUUGGGGAUGGACUCGCGGCUUAUCAGCUUGUUGGUGGGGUAGUGGCUUACCAAGGCUUUGACGGGUAGCCGGCCUGAGAGGGUGACCGGCCACAGUGGGACUGAGAGACGGCCCAGACGCCUACGGGAGGCAGCAGUGGGGAAUAUUGCACAAUGGGCGGAAGCCUGAUGCAGCAACGCCGCGUGCGGGAUGACGGCCUUCGGGUUGUAAACCGCUUUCGCCUGUGACGAAGCGUGAGUGACGGUAAUGGGUAAAGAAGCACCGGCUAACUACGUG
rnacentral:rRNA from 1 species